rnacentral:rRNA from 1 species
GAUGAACGCUGGCGGCGUGCCUAAUACAUGCAAGUCGAGCGAACGGACGAGAAGCUUGCUUCUCUGAUGUUAGCGGCGGACGGGUGAGUAACACGUGGAUAACCUACCUAUAAGACUGGGAUAACUUCGGGAAACCGGAGCUAAUACCGGAUAAUAUUUUUAACCGCAUGGUUCAAAAGUGAAAGACGGUCUUGCUGUCACUUAUAGAUGGAUCCGCGCUGCAUUAGCUAGUUGGUAAGGUAACGGCUUACCAAGUCAACGACGCAUAGCCGACCUGAGAGGGUGAUCGGCCACACUGGAACUGAGAGACGGUCCAGACUCCUACGGGAGGCAGCAGUAGGGAAUCUUCCGCAAUGGGCGAAAGCCUGACGGAGCAACGCCGCGUGAGUGAUGAAGGUCUUCGGAUCGUAAAACUCUGUUAUUAGGGAAGAACAUAUGUGUAAGUAACUGUGCACAUCUUGACGGUACCUAAUCAGAAAGCCACGGCUAACUACGUG